CUAUAUCUGAAUUUUAGAUCUAGAUCUUGAUCUAAAUGAUCUUGAUUAAUCUUGAUAAUACUUGAUCUAAUUAUCUAUAUCUAAUUCAUUAACUCCUUCACUGAAAGUUUCAGUGCCUGACUUGACUUAGUCGACUUAGACUUUUAGUAGUUUUAGAGUUAGACUCUGAGUCUUAGUACUCUUAGACAACAUUGAUUUAGUUAGAUUCUAGAUCUAUAUAUAAUAUUAUUAUUAAUAUAAAAUAUAGAUCUAGUCAAGUACUAGUACUAAGACACUGACUAUAUAGAUCUAGAAUAAUCUAGAUCUACUAUCUAUAUUCCAGCCCAGUCUACUCUACUGACUACCUCUAGUUACUCUAGUUAGUAAACUCUAGUUUAUCAAGUAUAUCUACUCUGACUAUAGUCUAUAACACUAUAUUAGAAUCCAAACUAUAUUUAUAUUUUAGACUACUCAACUACUGUAUUAACUAAUAGUGUGUGUAUAGAUCUAGAUCUAGUAUUUAUGUAUUAAAAAGUUACUGGAUGCAGAAUUCUAUACUAGUGACUAUAUCUAGACUACAUAAAACUAGAUGUACAUACAUUAGAUUUAGAUCAGUUUGAUUGAUUUAUUUUGUUAGCUUGAUUAACAUUCAUAUUUAUAAUUAGAUCAUGACUCUACUAUAUAUCUAUGUCUAUAUUAUAUAGAAAAAUAGAUCUAGAUAGCUUUUUUUUUUUUUUUGGUUUAAGUUUAAUGAGAUGGGGUAUUUCAAUCUCAUGAAAUUAAAGCUGCUAAUCAUGCUGAUUGCUAUCAUUAUUAUCAUACUCAUGCUUUAUGAGUAGGAUUAAAAUGCUGAUAUGACAGAACAUCAUGAUCAUCAUGCAGCCCAGAGUGCCCAGACCAUUGCUAUGUAGUCCUUUAUUUAAUUCUAUGAUGAAUCUAGGCUACUUACAUUUUAUAUAAUUACUAGAUUGUCUAGAUCUACAAUAGAAUAUCUACUUCAAUGUUUAUCUAAUUACUUGAUCUACAAUACAAUCUACUAUCAAAUAUUACUCAAGAAUUAUUUAAGAUUUUCCAUUGGAUUAUUCACUUAUGCACCCACAUUCUUUUAUCUGAUAUCAUGCCAAGACAAAGAAAAAGAAAGCUUUCAUCCUGUACAAAUGUUGAAGACACUAUUUUGUACAAAUUCCUUUAUGAAAAUUUUAAUUAUUCUGAACUUUCACCAGAUGACAAUAAUAAACUAUGCUUAAAAGGACAUGUCCUCCUAAUUUAUCUGCAAAAUCAGUCCUCCCAAACAUCCUCAGCAGAAAUUGUUGCUUCAACUUUUGGAUUCCCAUUUAAUCCAUGUUUAAUUUCAAAAGUUCAUUAUUUAACUGAAUGCACCAUUGCAAAGUAUAAAAGUAAUGUAACAAAAUAUUUGUCAGAAAUUCAAAACAUUUGCUAUCAAAAAUUUUACCAGUUACCUAGCACAACUGCUCCUAACUCUGAUUUAACUCCAACAAAAGCUAUACAACCAACUGAAAUAAAUCAUGUUACUGAAAUAAAUCCUGUUUCAUCAAAUUUAAGAAGCAAUGAUGAAUUAACCCCUUGUAGAAGACAUUUAAAAAGACGACUUUCUUUUGUGUCCCAGGCAAGAAGUGAAGACAAGAAUAAAUAUAGGAAAAAAAUAUGUUUAUUAAAAUCUCAAAUUAACUCUCAGCCUAACCUUAUUAAAAAUCUUAGACGGUCUGUUCACCGAAAAAAUGAGAGGAUUAUUAAGUUGUUAAAAAAAUUGCACAAAUAUGAAAUUGCUUCUGGCAAAUUUUUUUUAAAAUGUAAAAAAUGUAUUUGGUAAACAAAAAAGCAUCAAGAGGUAUUAAAGAAAAUGAAAUCAUCAUUUAAUAAAGAAUUGGCUGUGAAGGACGCUAUCACAACAUCUCUUCAAAGUGAUAAACUACUUCUUGAAGAUGAACUUAAAGAACUAAAAGAAAAUAAAGCUAGGUCCCUUAAAAAAAAUAAUAAAACAUAUGAUGUUAUGACAAGGUUAAUGUUUUUUAAUUGUCUUUUAUACCAGGCCCCAACCUCUUCCAUCUCCCCUAUAGUUAGUAGUUUAUCACAGAGAUUGGGUGUUCUUCUUGAUUGCGUCCCUCACAGAACAUCAGUAGACAACUUUGUAAGAGAACUUGGUGUUAUUUCAGACCUACAAGCCGCUGAAGUUGCCAUGAAAACACCACAUCUAACUCUUGGGUUUGAUUCCACAACCCAAGAGGGUGUACUUGUCAAUUCAGUACAUCUCACCACUCCAACUGAUACUUUUGUUAUAGCUUUAGAUCAGUUGAGUGGUGGGAGGGCUGAGGACUAUGAAAAAUACUUAAUUGAAUCAAUAAAAAAUUUAGCAUAUGCUUACUCAGAUUUUCAUAAGAUAGAGUUUUCCACUUGUCAUAAUGAAAUUAUCAAAAAUAUUUCCAACACUAUGUCAGACCGGGCAUCAGUGAAUCAUGCUUCCAUAGUUAAAUUAAAUGCAUUAUGGGGUAAAACCUUAAAUGAACUUAAUUGCCACCUGCACCCACUUGAUAGUAUUUCAAAAGGCUGCAGGUUGGCACUUAAGUCCCUGCAGACAGAAAGGAGCAGCCUUAUUGGGAGUGACUGCAUAGCAAGCAACAUUGUCUUACAAAUAGACAAACUCAGGUAUCAAGAUGGAAAGGGUGACCCCAAAAAUUUUAUUUCCUUUGUACUUAAUGAAAAUUUACCGAAGGGCCUUAUUCCACAGUAUAGGGGAAAUCGUUUGCAUGUGUUUUUCCGUACUUGUGGAAUAUUGGUCCUUCAUUAUGACCAAAUAUUAUCAUUUUUAAAAUCCCCUGCCCUUUCCUCUGGAUCGCUGAUAAGUUGCCUGCACAGUGACCUCAAUAGUGAAACUGGGAAGAAACAACUUUUUGUUAUGGGUAUGGUAGGGAAACUGCUGACAAGCCCUUGGAUGAAAAAAUUUUACAUUGCGCCUGGUGCGCAAGCUGUUUCUCAUCUUGGGGCUAUCACAGUCAUUAAAGAAGUUCUAGCCCAGGUAGAUCAAUGCCUUAAUAAUCCCUUCAUUAUUUUCACAAGAAACCUAGACUUCUUUGGUGUUAAUGAUCCCAUACUGGAGGUUCUUUUGCUCUGCCCUCAAGAUAAGGAAGUUGAAAACAUGAUAAAAGCUAGUUUGUCUUCUAUUGCAGAAACUAUCAAUAGGCAGUAUAAAAGGUAUCUUUGUAUGAAUGUGUCUGAGCUGAUGAGCACACAGACAGAAUCUGCUAGGCUACAUAACAUGGAUUCUGAAGAGGUGAUUGGCAUGUUUAGGGCAGCCAAGAAAAAAGCAAUGCAACGAUGUGCUACAUGUCCUCUAGAAUCUGUUCCCUAAAGAACAGAACUGUAGCCUAUCUAGAUUCUCUGAGUGCCUCAGAUAUGACUGAAAGGGUGACUUGGGCCAUUAGUGUCUCUCGCAGUAGGAGGCAGGCUAAUCGAGUGAGGAUGUCAGAGGUGACUAAGGAGAUUGCUCUGAGGGCGGAGCAAAAAAAACAGGAGACAGAACAGAAAGAAAGAAAGAAAAUUGUAAAACUUUUAAGACAAGACAAAUACAUUGACAAGAUUAAGGAACUGAUUACUAACGUGACUGAACAGACUUGGAUGGAUGUGCAGGAAUUGUUAUCUGGAAAUGUUAUUGACAGGUUGAUAUGCCACUAUUGGUACAGUGGCAGGGUAAAGGGACUGAAAAAAGGAAUGAAAGAUGUAUAUUUGGUAAAAUAUUGGCUGGAGGAUGAGAGUAGAGGGGUUGACUAUGACAUGAGCAAGUAUCAGCUUGCCUGUGACAUACUGUUCAAAGACUUGACAUUACUGUAGAAUAGUAUUUGUUAACAUCAAGGAUUUUUCCCUACCCAUUGACAAAAAUGUUCCAGUUUCACUUCUGUCUGACAAACAGGGAUUCUUUAUAAUAGGGUGGAAAAACAAUAGGGGGGUAAAUCUGUUAGCAAAUCAUUAGUGACUAAUACAUUUCAAUAAAAUAAAUACUUUUAUAAAAUUUUCAAACUGUAAAGAAUAGUAAACUAAAAGUUUAUGUCAUUAAUUUUAAACAUAUUAUAUACUAUUAUAAAAUUCACUAGAGGUAACCAUAGCCCUAACCUUUUUCUACUAUAUGUUUUAAGCUUUAAAAUAUAAAAUAUUUAAAAUAAAAUAGUACCUUAAUAAAAAAAGAUGUAAAUAAAACUGUCAAAUUAUAAAGAAUGAUCAUUCAAAAAUUUUUUUUAACAGAAAAGUAAAGCCCCUCUUUCUGUAAUUUUAUAACAAAACAUUUGUGUUGGGAUUGUUUUUGUUAAUUUGAUUAUUAUUCAUUUCCUUCAUGUAACUAUAACUUUUAAAAUGAUUAAACCUACAUAGUGUUUACAAUUGUUUUCCCAUUGCAUCACAUGUAAUACAGCAAAGUUUAAAAUUAAUAAUGAUCAUGACUUACUAACAUACUAAGUGUUUCUCUAGUCCUCCCAGUAGAUCUGAAAUAACACCAGUUGUUGUGUACUACUUGUCAUUCCCAUUUUUAAUAUUGCGUUUAUUUUUUUUUUUCUAGCACACUAUUUUGGUUUAUAUCAUCUAAUAAAAAAAAAGCUAAUCAACUAUUUUUCUUAGCUAUUUUUACUAUCACUAAUGAUAUGUGGUACAUCAUCACUUUUUAUAUAACGUUCCUUGUUAAAAUUUAUUUUAUUGAUAGUUCAUAAAGAAUUAAUUUAAAUUAUGUUUAAUGUAAAGCCAUAACUUUCAAAUUAAAAUAUUUAAUAAUUUUUAUAAACAAUAUUAUUAGUUUUAUAAAAUUGUCUUCACUUCAAGUUUGUGACUGUAAAGAUAUGUAAACUCUCCUUUUUAUAUUCAUGUGUACCAUUAAAAAUUAAGUUUUUUCAAACACAAAUCAUCAUAUAGCCUAUUAACUUUUCAUCAUUCAAAUAUUAAACUCUCAUAAAAAACAACAACUUUUUUUUUUCAAAUCCAUUUAUUAUUAACUCUUCAUUAAAUUAAACAUUAAACUUUUCAUAAAUUCAUAUGUGCCUUAUACUUUCGUGAUGGUGUCUAAAUUCCCACAUGUGCCUUAUACUUUCGUGAUGGUGUCUAAAUUCCCACAUGUGCCUUAUACUUUCAUGAUGGUGUCUAAAUUCCCACAUGUGCCUUAUACUUUCGUGAUGGUGUCUAAAUUCCCACAUGUGCCUUAUACUUUCGUGAUGGUGUCUAAAUUCCCACAUGUGCCUUAUACUUUCAUGAUGGUGUCUAAAUUCCCACAUAUGCCUUAUACUUUCGUGAUGGUGUCUAAAUUCCCACAUGUGCCUUAUACUUUCAUGAUGGUGUCUAAAUUCCCACAUGUGCCUUAUACUUUCGUGAUGGUGUCUAAAUUCCCACAUGUGCCUUAUACUUUCGUGAUGGUGUCUAAAUUCCAACAUGUGCCUUAUACUUUCAUGAUGGUGUCUAAAUUCCCACAUGUGCCUUAUACUUUCGUGAUGGUGUCUAAAUUCCCACAUGUGCCUUAUACUUUCGUGAUGGUGUCUAAAUUCCCACAUGUGCCUUAUACUUUCGUGAUGGUGUCUAAAUUCCCACAUGUGCCUUAUACUUUCGUGAUGGUGUCUAAAUUCCCACAUGUGCCUUAUACUUUCGUGAUGGUGUCUAAAUUCCCACAUGUGCCUUAUACUUUCGUGAUGGUGUCUAAAUUCCCACAUGUGCCUUAUACUUUCGUGAUGGUGUCUAAAUUCCCACAUGUGCCUUAUACUUUCGUGAUGGUGUCUAAAUUCCCACAUGUGCCUUAUACUUUCGUGAUGGUGUCUAAAUUCCCACAUGUGCCUUAUACUUUCGUGAUGGUGUCUAAAUUCCCACAUGUGCCUUAUACUUUCGUGAUGGUGUCUAAAUUCCCACAUGUGCCUUAUACUUUCGUGAUGGUGUCUCAAUUCCCACAUGUGCCUUAUACUUUCGUGAUGGUGUCUAAAUUCCCACAUGUGCCUUAUACUUUCGUGAUGGUGUCUAAAUUCCCACAUGUGCCUUAUACUUUCGUGAUGGUGUCUAAAUUCCAUGUGCCUUAUACUUUCAUGAUGGUGUCUAAAUUCCCACAUGUGCCUUAUACUUUCGUGUUGGUGUCUAAAUUCCCACAUGUGCCUUAUACUUUCGUGAUGGUGUCUAAAUUCCCACAUGUGCCUUAUACUUUCGUGAUGGUGUCCUUCAACUCCUUGCAUGUCAUCAGAGUCCCUUCGGCAACAUUUACUUAAUCAUCAUCCAGUACAUACUAACUUGCAUGCCAUCAGAGUCACUUGGCUCCAUUUACUUAAUCAUCAUCCAGUACAUACUAACUUGCAUGUCAUCAGAGUCACUUGGCUCCAUUUACUUAUUCAUCAUCCAGCACAUACUAACUUGCAUGUCAUCAGAGUCACUACGGCACCAACAAAUUAACCAACAUUGACUUCAUCAUCAUUCUAUGCUGCUUACUUGCAUGAUAUCUGCUUUGCUACGCUUCUAACACAAAGAAGCCACCAUUUACUUUAUCGUCAUUCAUCACUGACUAAUUUGCAUGUCAUCGAGUCCCUACGUCACUAACAAACCACCAUUGGCUUCAUCAUCAGUUGGUCGAACUUAAUUUCUAUGUUAUCACAUUCAUCUUCUAUGUUAUCAGCACAAUCCAGCAAUCAUUUAUGCCUUGCCAUCUUACCAUGCUAUACUUCAAAAUUAACAUCAUAUUAUCAAUUGUCAAGAAACAUUUAUAAAGAGAGACCUGACAACCCAGCAAGUCCGACAUUUCGUUUUUCAAAUUAAGGACACAGAAUAGAGCUGCAAUAUAUAUGGAUCCAUCAAUCAGAGAUUCAAUUCAAAUAUUGCUAAGAGUUUGCCCUCAUGAUCCAAGUGAAAAAGACUUUGCACCAUGAGUUCUGGAUGUUAACACUGCAGACAAUUCCAUUAUUCUUCACACAACGCCAUAGCCCACAAUUAAGACCAUCAUUUAUAAUGGCUUUGAAGAAUGAAGUGUAUA